AUCAUGUGCUGCCCUGCCGUUAUACGCAUAAUUGUCCCAUGUUCCUGUUAUACCCUUAACGAUCAUGCGCACUCCCCUGCGCAUUCGAAAUAAAACGUCAAUGAUCGUUUUUACUUCGGGAGUUCGAUCUGCGAUCGAACGGUUACCUAUGACUAUGAAAUAAAACAGAGAGGCAGAAAGUUGUGAGACACUGAACAAACAACAAGUAAUAUUUCUACAGCGUAUAUAUCACCGUGCUCAGGGAAUAGUCCGCGGGUAAUUAUUCUAAGUCCGGUCGUUCUAAGUCUACCCUUAAUUAGUAAGGAUAAAUCUUGAAAGUGGCGACGAGAAAAAUCGGAAAAAGUGAUUGUGCGUGACUUUGAGGUUGGUGUGUCAGCAUCCCACCAUCAGCAACACAAGCCAACAGCAGCAGAAUUUAGUUGAUCGAUCGGAAUUUCGUUCAUCUUUCGCCCCGGUUGAAAUAGUGGAAGCAGGAGAAACACAGAUUCGAAACCUUCCCAUCCAACUGUGGAUCUCAACCUACCGAUUGACGGUGUCCGGUAUUCAUUGGUAAUCAAAACAGUGUUAUUCUUACUGGUAAGCGGAACUGGCUUUUGGCGUUGCGUGGUUGAUCGAUUGAUUCCAGGCGGAACUGUGUAGUGGUUCGAUCAUUCCGGGCGGAAUAGCGUUUUCUAUAGUCGAUUACGCCCCUGCAGUUCGUCUGUUAGUGGAGUUUACUCACCUUUGAUUGAAACCGAGGAACUACAAACGCCGAACCAAUUGAAUAGUAGUCGACACGGCCAGCCAAAAGUAAUUUACAAGGCGGAAUUGUUCCGAUACAUGUUGGAAACGUGGCAAUAAUGGCCCAUCGCAGUCAGCUUAAGAGGUGCAAGGAGUGUCCGGUGUGGUCCCUGCCAAACGUGAUUAUCAGAAGACUGCGAGAUGACGAACUAGAAGGCCUGGAAGUAGGAGGAUCAACAAAUGUUGACGAGGUCAUGGACGAGAUGCAGACUGACAAUGACCACGAACCAGUAGACACGACUCCAAAGGGAGGAACCCACAGCAGAAAGAGGAAGAUGCCGGAUACCGGAACCGACGCCGAAGGGCUCCGUCGGUCCAAACGAUCGAGGAAGACCAAGCGAGAUAAGGAAUAUUGCUACGAGUUCAGAUUAGGUUUCUGAUACUUGUUCUAUAUUGAACGAUCGAAAUGUUUAUUUUAUAGUUAAGUAAUGUUGAACUAGAAGUUCAUUUGAUUUGAAUUCGUAUUAAAUUGGCUGAGGCCUAAUCUGAUUCAUUAGCUAAAA
rnacentral:lncRNA from 1 species